rnacentral:rRNA from 1 species
UGCUCUCGCUCUUAGAUGAGCCUAACUCGGAUUAGCUAGAUGGGGGGGUAAAGGCCUACCAUGGCGACGAUCUGUAGCUGGUCUGAGAGGAUGAUCAGCCACACCGGGACUGAGACACGGCCCGGACUCCUACGGGAGGCAGCAGUGGGGAAUAUUGGACAAUGGGGGAAACCCUGAUCCAGCCAUGCCGCGUGUGUGAAGAAGGCCUUUUGGUUGUAAAGCACUUUAAGCAGUGAAGAAGACUCCGUGGUUAAUACCCACGGACGAUGACAUUAUCUGCAGAAUAAGCACCGGCUAACUCUGUGCCAGCAGCCGCGGUAAUACAGAGGGUGCAAGCGUUAAUCGGAAUUACUGGGCGUAAAGGGAGCGUAGGUGGCUCUAUAAGUCAGAUGUGAAAUCCCCGGGCUCAACCUGGGAACUGCAUCUGAAACUGUAGAGCUAGAGUAUGUGAGAGGAAGGUAGAAUUCCAGGUGUAGCGGUGAAAUGCGUAGAGAUCUGGAGGAAUACCGAUGGCAAAGGCAGCCUUCUGGCAUAAUACUGACACUGAGGCUCGAAAGCGUGGGUAGCAAACAGGAUUAGAUACCCUGGUAGUCCACGCCGUAAACGAUGUCUACUAUUCGUUGGGUCCCUUGAGGACUUAUUGACGCAGCUAACGCAAUAAGUACACCGCCUGGGGAGUACGGCCGCAAGGUUAAAACUCAAAUGAA